rnacentral:rRNA from 1 species
CCUGGGGAGUACGGCCGCAAGGUUAAAACUCAAAUGAAUUGACGGGGGCCCGCACAAGCGGUGGAGCAUGUGGUUUAAUUCGAUGCAACGCGAAGAACCUUACCUGGUCUUGACAUCCACAGAACUUGCCAGAGAUGGCUUGGUGCCUUCGGGAACUGUGAGACAGGUGCUGCAUGGCUGUCGUCAGCUCGUGUUGUGAAAUGUUGGGUUAAGUCCCGCAACGAGCGCAACCCUUAUCCUUUGUUGCCAGCGGUCAGGCCGGGAACUCAAAGGAGACUGCCAGUGAUAAACUGGAGGAAGGUGGGGAUGACGUCAAGUCAUCAUGGCCCUUACGACCAGGGCUACACACGUGCUACAAUGGCGCAUACAAAGAGAAGCGACC